GGCAGUGGAGCUUAGUGGAAAAGAUGUUAGACUUGUAAUUUGGUGGUCAUGAGUUCAAAUCCCCUCACAGCCA